UACGGGGGGGGGCAAGCGUUGUUCGGAAUUACUGGGCGAAAGGGCUCGUAGGUGGCCAACUAAGUCAGACGUGAAAUCCCUCGGCUUAACCGGGGAACUGCGUCUGAUACUGGAUGGCUGGAGUUUGGGAGAGGGAUGCGGGAAUUCCAGGUGUAGCGGUGAAAUGCGUAGAUAUCGGAGGAACACCGGUGGCGAAGGCGGCAUCCUGGACCAACACCUGACGCUGAGGAGCGAAAGCCAGGGGAGCAAAGCGGG
rnacentral:rRNA from 1 species